rnacentral:rRNA from 1 species
UACGUAGGGGGCAAGCGUUGUCCGGAUUUAUUGGGCGUAAAGAGCGUGUAGGCGGCUUUACAGGUCCGUUGUGAAAACUCGAGGCUCAACCUCGAGACGCCGGUGGAAACCGUAAAGCUAGAGUCCGGAAGAGGAGAGUGGAAUUCCUGGUGUAGCGGUGAAAUGCGCAGAUAUCGGGAGGAACACCUGUGGCGAAAGCGGCGCACUGGACCACAACUGACGCUGAGGCGCGAAAGUGUGGGGAGCGAACAGG